rnacentral:tRNA from 1 species
GCCUGUGAGUUCAGUUAGUAGAGCACUCCACUGAAAAUGGAGAGAUCCCUGGUUCGAUAUCAGGACCAGGCA